rnacentral:lncRNA from 1 species
UUAUGAAUAAGGUAAUGUGAAAGUUUAUUUUAAUUAUGAAUAUGGACUUGUGGUUUGGGGUUUGGAAUAUUUUAUAAAUAGGGUUUGAGGUGAAAGAAUAGAUUGAGGUUCAAGGGUAGAUGGGUUUGGGGUUUGGAAUAUAUGAAGUAGAAGAUAAGGAAGAUGGGGUUUGGGGUUUCGGAUUUUAGGGAUUUAUACGUAAUACUCGUUAAUUCCUCGUAAGCCAAAAUCGUCGUAAGGUUGUCGUAAGGCCACGAGGAGUUUACGACGAAAUUUAAAAAAAAAUAAAGAAAGCGGGGCACGCUAAUUCCACGCAAGCCAAAAUCGUCGUAAGGUUGUCGUAAGGCCACGAGGAGUUUACGACGAAAUUAAAAAAAAAAUAAAGAAAGCGGGACACGCUAAUUCCACGUAAGACUCUCUGAGUGAAUGAAAAUAAGUAAUUGUGGUUUGGAAUGAAAAUAAAGAUAGGGUUUGGAAUAUAUGAAGUAGAAGAUAAGGAAUAUGGGGUUUGGGGUUUGGGGUUUCGGGUUUUAGGGAUUUAAAUGGAAUACUCGUUAAUUCCUCGUAUGUUAACGUCGAACUUACGACGAAUUCCUCGUAAAUACCACGUAGGACAGAUUCGUCGUAAAUACCACGUAGG